rnacentral:misc_RNA from 1 species
UUCCCAUUUUCAACAAGCAAAGCAGGGCUAAGGCAUAGGAAAAGAAGGUAAGUUAAGUUUGACUUGUCCCGCUUAAUAAAGCACUGAAUGGUUCCAUCCCUGGGCCCUGGCUGCUUAAGGGAAACUGGAAAGGUAAUUUUCCCAGAGAACUCAGGACUUGUAACUAUUUCCUUGCACAUUUCCCUCCAUGACCUGCACACAGCAGCACAGGCAACAACAUGCUUCCGAGC